rnacentral:rRNA from 1 species
GGAAAAGAGGGGAGGGGGGCGGUGUAAAUAGGUAUGGGGUAGCGCUAGUCCGGAAUGAUUGGUGGAAAAGGGUGCUCAGUGGGCGUGUGACGUCUGGUGUGGAGGCCCGGGGCUUAAACUCGGGUCUGCAGUCGAUACGGGCUAGGUGGAGUGUGGUAGGGGAGGUCGGAAUUCCUGGUGUAGCGGUGAAAUGCGCAGAUAUGAGGAGGAACACCGGUGGCGAAGGCGGAUCUCUGGGCCAUUACUGACGCUGAGGAGCGAAAGCGUGGGGAGCGAACAGGAUUAGAUACCCCUGUAGUC